UACGUAGGGUGCAAGCGUUAAUCGGAAUUACUGGGCGUAAAGCGUGCGCAGGCGGUUGUGCAAGACAGAUGUGAAAUCCCCGGGCUCAACCUGGGAACUGCAUUUGUGACUGCACGGCUGGAGUGCGGCAGAGGGGGAUGGAAUUCCGCGUGUAGCAGUGAAAUGCGUAGAUAUGCGGAGGAACACCGAUGGCGAAGGCAAUCCCCUGGCCUGCACUGACGCUCAUGCACGAAGCGUGGGAGCAACAGG
rnacentral:rRNA from 1 species